UGUGACCCAGGGUAGCCACUGGGAUUUAUGAAGAGGCAAAAGUGGGGAGAUUUGAGAAUUUAGGAAUGUCAGGAGUGGGCAUACACAGAGCUAUCUCUGGGCACCCUCACCCACUUUGCACAGGCUUUUGCACAGUGGAUGAUUGUGCUCCUGGAAGAGAUCCAGGGAGCACAAAGUACGAGACCUGCUUCUGCCCAAGAGGAUCAGAAACUGAGACCUAUGUGGGUCUCAGGGGAUGGUACUAAACCACUCGUGAGAAAUUCACCACCAUAAUCUCAUCACCUCCCACCAGGCCCCACCUCCAAAACUGGGGAUUAUAUUUCAACAUGAGAUGUGGGUGUGAACACAGAUUCGAACUAUAUCAUUCUUCCCAUGGCCCCUCCCAAAUCUCAUGUCUGUCUUACAUUUCAGAAUACAAAUAUGCCUUCCCAAUCAUCUCCCAAAGUCUCAACUCAUUCCAGCGUUAACUCAAAGACCAAAAUUCAAAGUCUCAUCUGAAACAAGGUGUUGCCAAAGGAGAUUAUUAUUUGAGUCAGAGGACUGGGAGAAGCAGACCUACCCUCGAUCUGGGUGGGUGUCAUCUAGUCAGCUGCCAGUGUGGCUAGAAUGAAGCAGGCAGAAGUUGGAAAGAGCAGACCUGCUGAGUCUUCUGGCCCUCACCGUUCUCCCGUGCUGGAUUCUUCUGGCCCUCAAACAUCAGACUCCACGUUCUUCAGCUUUUGGACUCAUGGACUUACACCAGUGGUGUGCCAGGGCCUCUUGAGCCUUUGGUCACAGACUGAAGGCUACACUGUCAGCUUCUCUAAUUUUGAGGUUUUGGGACUCAGACUGAUCCACCACUGGCUUCCUUGCUCCUCAACUUGCAGAUGGCUUCUCACGGGACUUGACUUUAUGAUCAUACUUGGCCAAUAAGAUGUUCCUGCCUAAGACUUUGAAUCUGGAAUGGGGAACACAGAGAACAUGAGCAACGAAGAAUUAUUCACAGCACAGCACAGCAGUGCUGACAGCAUCGACAGUCCUGUGGUGCCAGCAAGAAUCCAAAAGAAGUGUCCUACAUAAAUUCCCUUAAUCACUGACCAUUUAAUGAGGCUGAUUCAGCCUCAUACAAAUUUUGUAUGCUUCUUCAUACAAUUUUUAAUUGUGCUGUAAAAGUUAACCAGAGACAAUUUCUGUUGCUUGCACACAGUAAGUUGACUAAGCAAAAAAAUUCAGGAGAGAUUAUUUUAUAGAAGUCAAUGCAAAUGCAUUAAUUUACAAGAAGUGAAACUGCAAGUUCACUUUGCUGCCUUAUGGCCAGCAUAUUCUCUUACAAGGGAAGUCUAUAUGGCAAUCUGUGUUAUGAUCAGAAGAUUUGGGAAAGAUGGAAUCUGUGAGAGAGUUUUAUGACACACGGUUACAACUGAUCACAGGAUCAAACACUAAAACUCCAAUAUAUAUAUUUAUUCUUAUUAGCAAAGCUUUUAUGCUAUGGAGGAAAAAGAAAAAGAAAUAAGAAAUUCUGAGUUUCUCUAAACUUCCAGUAUGUGGAUGAGUUAAAAACUAUGUCAUCUUGGAUUCCCCAUUUUAAAUAUUUCAUAAUAAUGCAUUAUAAUUGGUACAUGUUAAUAUCAAUUUUUUCUUUUGCUGUUUUUGAAGUGGUGUGAAUCACCUGUAACAAGGUUUCCUUAUCAUCCAUUUAAUUAUUGUCCUAUAAUAUACUUUUCAAUACAGCAACUACUUUUUAUGUUUUGGGAUUACUUUUACUAUUGUUAGAUAAAACCUAUGGUUGAUUGUGUGCCUCUAGAAGAACUUCAAAAGUACAAUAUAAAUCUUGCUAACAAU
rnacentral:lncRNA from 1 species